rnacentral:rRNA from 1 species
CAGUCGCCGCGGGAAUACGUAGGGUGCAAGCGUUAAUCAGAAUUACUGGGCGUAAAGCGUGCGCAGGCGGUCUGUUAAGACGGAUGUGAAAUCCCCGGGCUCAACCUGGGAACUGCAUUCGUGACUGGCAAGCUAGAGUAUGGCAGAGGGGGGUGGAAUUCCACGUGUAGCAGUGAAAUGCGUAGAGAUGUGGAGGAACACCGAUGGCGAAGGCAGCCCCCUGGGCCAAUACUGACGCUCAUGCACGAAAGCGUGGGGAGCAAACAGGAUUAGAUACCCGGGUAGUCCCUGUCUCUUAUAC